GUGGGGAAUCUUAGACAAUGGGGGAAACCCUGAUCUAGCCAUGUCGCGUGAGCGAUGAAGGCCUUAGGGUUGUAAAGCUCUUUCAGCUGGGAAGAUAAUGACGGUACCAGCAGAAGAAGCCCCGGCUAACUCCGUGCCAGCAGCCGCGGUAAUACGGAGGGGGCUAGCGUUGUUCGGAAUUACUGGGCGUAAAGCGCGCGUAGGCGGACCAGAAAGUUGGAGGUGAAAUCCCAGGGCUCAACCUUGGAACUGCCUUCAAAACUCCUGGUCUGGAGUUCGAGAGAGGUGAGUGGAAUUCCGAGUGUAGAGGUGAAAUUCGUAGAUAUUCGGAGGAACACCAGUGGCGAAGGCGGCUCACUGGCUCGAUACUGACGCUGAGGUGCGAAAGCGUGGGGAGCAAACAGGAUUAGAUACCCCAGUAGUCC
rnacentral:rRNA from 1 species